rnacentral:rRNA from 1 species
GAUGAACGCUGGCGGCGUGCCUAAUACAUGCAAGUCGAGCGAACGGACGAGAAGCUUGCUUCUCUGAUGUUAGCGGCGGACGGGUGAGUAACACGUGGCUAACCCACCUAUAAGACUGGGAUAACUUCGGGAAACCGGAGCUAAUACCGGAUAAUAUUUUGAACCGCAUGGUUCAAAAGUGAAAGACGGUCUUGCUGUCACUUAUAGAUGGAUCCGCGCUGCAUUAGCUAGUUGGUAAGGUAACGGCUUACCAAGGCAACGAUGCAUAGCCGACCUGAGAGGGUGCUCGGCCACCCGGGAACUGAGACACGGUCCAGACUCCUACGGGAGGCAGCAGUAGGGAACCUUCCGCAAUGGGCGAAAACCUGACGGAGCAACGCCGCGUGAGUGAUGAGGGUCUUCGGAUCGUAAAACUCUGUUAUUAGGGAAGAACAUAUGUGUAAGUAACUGUGCACAUCUUGACGGUACCUAAUCAGAAAGCCACGGCUAACUACGUG